GCGGGGCGGGGCGGCUCUGAAGGGCCCCGCCGGGGUUGGAGCUCGAGCUCCGCCUCUGGGGCGGGGCAGCGCGCUCUGGGGACCCGGCACGUGGCCGCGGAAUUGGUCAGAGCCGGCUUUUCCCUCCAACCCGAAAAGGUGCUGGCGAAGGUGCAGGCCGUCAGGAAAGUGGGAGACAUUAGGCUUGAGCCCCCUUUCUGUGCUUGGGCCCUCUAACAGAUUCUUUCCACAGGCAGAAGGGAGCUCUGCGCGAUUCUGUAAUCUUUCUCAGAAAAGAAAUACGAACAAGCCCUAAACCCUCCCUAAUCACAAAGAAAAAUAUGGGAGUGAGUCGAGAAGAUAAGAUAGUAAAGAACUUGUACUUUAUUUGAAAGCACUUCUGCCAUGCUCAUGGUCUUCUGAAACAUUUGAACAAAACCUUUCCAAAAAGCAAGUAUAUAAGGAUUUUUUUUUUCUCAAGGCCAAUUGUUUGAUACAGUGGUUGCUUUAUAUUUAUUCUUGGCAUCUUGUCUCUUCUACAUGCUUUUUUCUUCUUACACCAAAAGCUGUUAAUGCUCCCAGUCAACAGCCCCACUGCAUAUUUCCUCACAUAGCAUUCACUCUGUUUUCACUUGAAAUCACUAUAUUAGUUCCAAUAAUCAGUCAUUUAAAAUGUCAAACAACUUGGGCCCUUUUGACAAAAUGUGGUAAAAGUAUCCUAAACCUAACUUCUUUAGAAUUGGUUGGUUGACCUGUAAAACUUAUUGUUCUCUGAAUUUUGAAACACUCAAAAGCAUUUUUCUGAAGAAAUUUGGAAGACAUGGCUGUUGAGUCCUUUUUGUAUCAGACUAUAUACUGAACUGUAUCUUCAGCAAUACUUCUCAGGGGACCUAUGGGGUCCCUCUGCUGGUGAGCUGCAGGAGCUCUUCUAGCUGGGUGGCAUGGGUUCAAAGCCUGGAAAGGUUAAGAACACUCAGACUGAAUUAUGGCCUUGGGCGUCAACCUGGGACAUGGGUAGUUAAUUAUUUCAUGCUUUCCUUUGAGUUCCAAUCAGUGGAAAUACUGGUCUGUGUAAGCAUGUGUUCUGGAACUGAAAGGUGGGGAAGGGUGUCCUAAUUUGUUCUCCUUAAAGUUUCACAGAACAUGUAGCAGCCCUAGAUAAUUAAGCUGGUUUAACAACUUUAAACAGACUUUGUGGUUCUUUUCUCAUUGCAAAAUAAAUACAUGUUUAUUGUAGAGCAUUUAGACAAAAAAAAAAAAGAAACUACCCCAUUCCAUCCUUAAUUUAACCCAUUAAA